rnacentral:rRNA from 1 species
GACGAACGCUGGCGGCGUGCUUAACACAUGCAAGUCGAGCGGUAAGGCCCUUUCGGGGUACGACGAGCGGCGAACGGGUGAGUAACACGUGGGUGACCUGCCCUUACGCUCUGGGAUAAGCCUGGGAAACUGGGUCUAAUACCGGAUAUGACUCCAUGACGCAUGUUGUGGGGUGGAAAGCCUUGUGCGGCUAGGGAUGGGCCCGCGGCCUAUCAGCUUGUU